CCGGUAAUAAAAACACCAUUCAAAAUAACGCCCCUAUGCUAGGAUGCCAAUAUAAAUGGCUUCCAGAGGUUCUGCCACAGAUUCUCUACCAUUGUCUACACUCGGUCACAUAGGAGAGAAAUGAAAUGCUACAGGGACGUGGAUGAAAAUGGUGUGCAUAGCUCUGUUCAUGGUGGACCUGGCGGAGCAGCUUCUGGUGGACCAACAAAGAAGGGAGGACGGCACUAAUGGACCAGCAGAAAAGGUUGGGGCAAAAUAGUGUGGCUUGAAAAAGGG
rnacentral:misc_RNA from 1 species